GACGAACGCUGGCGGCGUGCUUAACACAUGCAAGUCGAACGGAAAGGCCUGCUUUCCCUUGUGGAUUGCGGGUACUCGAGUGGCGAACGGGUGAGUAACACGUGAGUGAUCUGCCCCCAACUUGGGUAUAAGCCUGGGAAACUGGGUCUAAUUCCCGAUAGGACUGCAGGGUGGUGCCUGUGGUGGAAAACGAUUUUCUAGUGGUUGGGGAUGAGCUCGCGGCCUUUCAGCUUGUUGGUGGGGUAAUGGCCUACCAAGGCGGCGACGGGUAGCCGGCCUGAGAGGGUGGACGGCCACAUUGGGACUGGGAUACGGCCCAGACGCCUACGGGAGGCAGCAGUGGGGAAUAUUGGACAAUGGGCGGAAGCCUGAUGCAGCGACGCCGCGUGGGGGAUGACGGCCUUCGGGUUGUAAACUCCUUUCGACCGCGAGGAAGCCACCUGGUUGGAAGGGUGGUGACGGUAGUGGUAGAAGAAGCACCGGCUAACUACGUG
rnacentral:rRNA from 1 species